CAGUAGCCGCGGUAAUACGUAGGGUGCAAGCGUUAAUCGGAAUUACUGGGCGUAAAGCGUGCGCAGGCGGUUAUGUAAGACAGUUGUGAAAUCCCCGGGCUCAACCUGGGAACUGCAUCUGUGACUACAUAGCUAGAGUACGGUAGAGGGGGAUGGAAUUCCGCGUGUAGCAGUGAAAUGCGUAGAUAUGCUGAGGAACACCGAUGGCGAAGGCAAUCCCCUGGACCUGUACUGACGCUCAUGCACGAAAGCGUGGGGAGCAAACAGGAUUAGAUACCCCAGUAGUCCCUGUCUCUUAUAA
rnacentral:rRNA from 1 species